rnacentral:rRNA from 1 species
CAAUAGCGUAUAUUAAAGUUGUUGCGGUUAAAAAGCUCGUAGUUGGAUUUCUGCCGAGGACGACCGGUCCGCCCUCUGGGUGAGUAUCUGGCUUGGCCUGGGCAUCUUCUUGGAGAACGUAGCUGCACUUGACUGUGUGGUGCGGUAUCCAGGACUUUUACUUUGAGGAAAUUAGAGUGUUUCAAGCAGGCAUGCGCCUUGAAUAGUCCAGCAUGGAAUAAUAAGAUAGGACUAAUGUCUAUUUUGUUGGUUUGUUGAUGUUAGUAAUGAUUAAUAGGGACAGUUGGGGGUAUUCGUAUUCCACGGUCAGAGGUGAAAUUCUUAGAUUCAUGGAAGACGAACUACUGCGAAAGCAUUUACCAAGGAUGUUUUCAUUAAUCAAGAACGAAAGUUAGGGGAUCGAAGAUGAUUAGAUACCGU